AUAAACACAAACAGAUUGAGAGUCAAGUACCCUGUGGAACAUAAAGGCUCGUUUACUGUUAGGACCUUAGAAACAUUUGCGGAAUGCAACUAGUUGGAGUUGAAUAGACUGUCUAUUCUGGUGCCAGAUCAAUAUCCUGGACUGUUGGAAGAUUACUUUGGAGGAGGGGACGGGGAAUACAGACCUGCCUCUUCCUCACCUGCUGCUCCCAGACAUGUACUGCCUUCUACAGCAAGAGAGAAGGAACUGUAUUUGAUGCUGCCAGACCUGAUGAAUUUCUCCAGCAUUCUCUGUGCUUGAAGCAUGUGAAUAUUUAGUCAGAGCCUUAAUUGAUUGAGAUUGUUAGCAGAUGAAUGUAAUUGGUGCAAUAAGGAAUUGGGCAAUGCAUUCACUGACAUUGAACAUUUGAAUUAAGUUUUCAAACUGCUUGUGGCACUGUAUUCAUAUUCCCAAGGCUUGACCCCUGGCAUCGUCCUCCUCGGCUUUCUGUUCUUCCUGCCUUCAGGACACGGAUACAGGACAUCUUUCCUCUUUUUGCCUUUUCUAGCAUGGACUCCAGUGCUGCAUCUGAAAACCUUUGAAGUCUGAUCUGUACUACAUUAUGCCAUUAUUCAAUGUCUCACGAGUCAGGAUCCCUUUCUGCAUGACUGUAUUACUUCCAACAAAGACUCCAGCCACAAUCCAUCACUCAUUAAGAAGAAUAGCCAGUCAUAAUAUUGACUCUGCUCUGACAUCUGAUGGCUAUUGGUGGCUCGACAUCAUUGGAAGGAGAAAGCAGCAAGAGGUUUAUAUGUUGCCUGUAUGAUAUUGCGAUCAACAGGUACAGGUUAACCGCAUGCCACAAUCCUAAGUGUUUUGUGGGCCUGAAUUCGAGAACCCCUGUUGAUGUUUCACAGAAUAAUGUAUAUUAACUCUUUAUUCAUAGUUUUUGGAGGAUAACCAUUAUAACCUGGAAUAUUUGUAUCUUAUUUAAGUAUAUUUUCUUUUCAAGAUGUAGAAUUGUGAUCUUGACUCUCCCCUCCAAACUGGUCUAUUCCCUAGCCAACAACUUGAAUGGGGAAAGAACCUGGGAAUUAAAUCCUUUUUUGAAAGGGGCAGUAAGUGAUUUUGAGAAGAAAUAGCCUGUCUGUGCAGCUCACUUAUCAGAAUCAGACAAAUUAAGAUUUUUUUUAAACAUUCUAUACAAUUCCUGUACCCAACAGAUCACACCCUUACCAUUUGACACUUGAAUGGUGGUUUGUACAACAUUUUUUUUACAGCACUGCACUUUUGUAAAGAACUGAACAUCUUUAAACUCAAAUUAUUCAAAAUGAAGUUAAGUUUACAUAUUAACAAACUGAUGCUAUGAAUUUCAUUGUUGGUGAAGACCAUGAUUUGAUAUUUUAACACUUUGUUUUAGAAAUGUGGAUAUGAAGGGGUGGAUUAAUUGGAAACACUAGAGUUUUACAGACCAGCUUCAGAGUUGCUACACUUAAUGGUAGGGUGCAACCAGCUAUAUAUUUAAAUAUUCAGAUGGAGGUGUAUAAUUUCACAGUGCCCCAUGAUACAAAAUAUUUUUCUAGCAGUGCAAUGCUAAAAUUUUGCUAACUGGAAUUAGCAUUGAGGCAUCAAUGAUAUCUGGCAUGUGAUCUAAGGCCUAGUGUUGUGAAAGAACUUUUUGAUCCUGUUUUUUUAUUCCUGUCAGAAAGGUUUUGGAAUUGUUGGUUGUUUUAUCAACUGUGGUGACAUAAGGGGUGAAUUCUUGUAAGAAGACCAGGCAGAGUGGUUUUGA